AGUUACAUAGAAAUUUGUUCUUUCAGAUGCUGCUACAUAAAAUCACAUGGCCAGUUAUGGGCCGGAAUGAUGAUGAGGAAUGGGAUGUUGACUCCAUGUGCCACGUUGAAGAUCACUGAUUGAAACAGCCUCAUCAGAUUCAUGGGCUCAGCUGCUGACAUUCUGGAUUGGAUGUACUCCCUUCAGACAGAUCUUCCUACUUCAGCAACAUGUUUGACACACUAAAGUUCCCAGCCCACAUCAAAAACUACAAGGAGUUUGAAGAAGCACUUACUUCUGCCAUACAUAGGUAAUACUGUACGUGAGGUGUUGGGUGCUGUUCUGGAGGACAUGACAAGUUGAUGCAAAUUCAUUUGGGUUUUGGUUUAUUGUUAUUGAAAACUUCUGCUUUCCAAAAAUGCUUAUUGUUCCAUGAGUUUCGUGCAAUUACAGUGAUUCUGAAACACAUUCUGUUGCGCUCUCUCUCAACGCUGGAAAAAAAUAACACCACUUUAAAAUGA